AGCGAACGCUGGCGGCAGGCCUAACACAUGCAAGUCGAACGGAUCCUUCGGGAUUAGUGGCGGACGGGUGAGUAACACGUGGGAACGUGCCUUUUGGUUCGGAACAACUCAGGGAAACUUGAGCUAAUACCGAAUGUGCCCUUCGGGGAAAGGAUUUAUCGCCAUUAGAGCGGCCCGCGUCUGAUUAGCUAGUUGGUGAGGUAAAGGGCUCACCAAGGCUACGAUCAGUAGCUGGUCUGAGAGGAUGAUCAGCCACAUUGGGACUGAGACACGGCCCAAACUCCUACGGGAGGCAGCAGUGGGGAAUCUUGCGCAAUGGGCGAAAGCCUGACGCAGCCAUGCCGCGUGAAUGAUGAAGGUCUUAGGAUUGUAAAAUUCUUUCACCGGGGACGAUAAUGACGGUACCCGGAGAAGAAGCCCCGGCUAACUUCGUG
rnacentral:rRNA from 1 species